rnacentral:piRNA from 1 species
CUGGCUCGUGGUCUGCAAGUUUGGGA